rnacentral:rRNA from 1 species
UACGAAGGGGACUAGCGUUGUUCGGAAUCACUGGGCGUAAAGCGCACGUAGGCGGAUGUGUCAGUCAGGGGUGAAAUCCCGGGGCUCAACCUCGGAACUGCCUUUGAUACAGCACGUCUCGAGUCCGGAAGAGGUGGGUGGAAUUUACGGUGUAGCAGUGAAAUGCGUAGAUAUCGUAAGGAAGACCAGUGGCGAAGGCGAAUCUCUGGACAGUUACUGACACUGAGGCACGAAGGCCAGGGGAGCAAACGGG